rnacentral:rRNA from 1 species
GACGAACGCUGGCGGCGUGCCUAAUACAUGCAAGUCGAACGCAGUGGCGAACGGGUGAGUGACGCGUAGGUAACUGCCUGGUAGCGGGGGGUAACUAUUGGAAACGAUAGCUAAUACCGCAUACUACCAGAUGGACCUGCGUUGUAUUAGCUAGUUGGUGGGGUAACGGCCCAACAAGGCAACGGUACAUAGCCGACCUGGGAGGGUGAACGGCCACACUGGGACGUGGACACGGCCCAGACUUCUCCCGGGGGGAGCAGUAGGGAAUUUUCGGAAAUGGACGGAAGUCUGACCGAGCAAAGCCGCGGGAGUGAAGAAGGUUUUCGGAUCGUAAAGCUCUGUUGUAAGAGAAGCGGUAUCUUACCAGAAAGGGACGGCUAACUACGUGCCAGCCGCCGCGGUAAUAC